GAGAAAGCUGAAGGUCCUUACCUGCGGCGUACGGACUGCUCUGGUGGUCCCUGAGGGUGCCCAGGCUGCAGGAUCCCGGCGUGAGGGAAGGGCAGCCGGACGUGGCCCCAAAAGUGGUCCUUAUCGGGUUAUACUGGAAGCCACUGGCCUGGCUGCAGGAACUGAAGUCAGCAUAGGCUGAAGCCAGGCUCGAGGUGUCCAUCCCAGCCAUACAGGACUCGUAGGCAGAGGAAUUGAGGUAAGAAUAUUCCAUUUUAUACAUUGAAAAGGUUCUGGAUGGCUCAGCCAAGUGGAAAAAUGAAAUAAAAGAUGGAUAUGGAGAAGGUGGCUGGAGUGGGGAGAUGUGCACAGCUCAACGCCUGCCUCCAAACUGGCCUCCUUACUACCAGCAGAGCCUAGUUUUAUGAAAAAGCCUCCUAUGAGAUGCCUUGUCUGAGGUCUCUAGAGCAUAUAGUCCUCAUAAUAAACUUGGCUCUUUCCACUUGGACAAUAGCAAAGCGGUUGGUCUUAUUGCUGGCGCUUUUUACAUGACAAUAACUCAUCCGUCUAUUGGGCUGGCACUGGGGAACUGAGCUGUCCAACCUCCCUAUCAUUGAUUCCUGCAUCUCUAAUUAGAAUUUAAUACCACACCAUUACGCACCGAGCCCCUGAUCCUCCCUUCUAACCAGCUCCCUGCCCUUUAAUUCAAUCACACUACUUGGAAAUAAUGAAAGUUGGGUGACGAUUCUCCCUGAUCCAAUUUCCCCGAGCUUUUAAGCCUUUUUAACUGAUCAUAUACCUUAGGCAUAAAUUGAGAUAGUGUGUGUGUUUUCCCCCUUCUUCGUCCUCUUCUUUUUUUCCCCCUCGGUUAGGGAGAAGAAACCUUGAUGUCAUAGAAAACCUGUUUUGUAAGAGUGUUACACGCUCAAUUUAACAACAAGCCUACCCCCCGAAGUGCAUGAAAUGUUAUAAAGGACUGGGACAUUGGCAAGACUCAGGCGCCCUGUAACAUAGAGUAAGUGGGCCAAGGGGGUUUAUGUGAACGAUAAGCGGAUUUCUUUAAAAAUACACCUGGUAGAGGGGGUUAAAAAAAAGAGAGACAGAGAGAAAGCAUCUUAUAAAUUGCAUUUCUUCUUGCAGCUAAAUGUGCUUUCAAGAGACUCAGGGUAUACAGCCACUUAAAAAUAAUAAUAAAAAAAUCUGAGGAAAGCUUUCGAAUGUGAAACAUCUGGAUUCUCGACCGUUGUGUUCUUUGCUCUCAGUUCUGUCUGUUUGCAUUAGCGCAAGCCUUGGUUGGUUUGAGUUUCUGUGAGGUUGUUCGUUUUAAUUACACCAUAACUGGCAAGCGAGCAUGAAGUGUACCCAAAUGUAUCUCCUCUUUCAUCUCUUUCGGGCGCUCUCCCUCUUUCUCGCCUCUUUUUUUUUUUCAGGUGCCCACAAUCCUCCACAGACCCGGGGAUUGUGUCUGUUUGCCUUUUAGGUUUGCGGACUGUAGUGAGGGAAAUUCUUGCCAUGUAAAUGCCCAGGCAAGGGCUCCAGGUCGGGCACCUUUCUUGUCCGAUUCCUCAGGCUUUUGGGUGCUGGCAGCGAGGCACAGACAAAGGAGCGAGCAGUGAUUUGUGGACUUCAGUGGCCCCAUGAUUUAAGCGGAGGGUAAUUUUCAUUUGGUUUGUUAGGCCCUAGCAGAAUAAGGGAAACUAUUUCAUUAAAUCCUUCCUCUCGGUGGACAAGAGGGGGAAAGCUUAGCUGAAUCGCCGUGUGGUGUAAACAAACCCUGGAUAUUUUAUAUGAAUUAAAUGUGUAGAUAAUUAGUUUUAUUGCAUUCAUUACCCCCUUUAUGUGCUCUGUAACAAGUCAGUAAUUAAAGUAACAAACUCAUAAAGUCUUUAUAGGGGCAUUUAGGCGUUCAGUGUUUGCCAAACUAAGUGGUUUAAUUCGAUGCUAGUGCCGGGGAGUGGAUGGGCUCCCGCUCUCCCCUGCCACCGUGUUUUAUUGCGCACUAAACUGCCGCGGACGCAGUAAUGGAUUAAACGGGGACAGCGGUCCCCCAGCCUUGUGCUUCUUUGCAGGAUGGUGGCUGCUUGGUUAGCCUGAGUUCCAGAGUGAGGACAUCAUGAAGUAAAGAUCUCAGCUGACCCACAAUGGACAUAUAUUUCCUUAGAGUCUCAGGGAAGGCUUCUGGAAGAGGUGUAUUUUCAAGUGAAGAUACCGAGAGCCCAGUAUCACAGAGGAAGAAAGUACUGGUGGUGACACAGCAGGUAUUUUAGAAGUGGGGGCAGCUAUUUUAGACAGCUCUUUCCUAUGUUGUUCCUGUCACACCAUGAAGAUGCCGAUUUCGUCCACCCACAAGAAAGCUGCCUUGGUCCUGGUACUCAAGGGCUCUAUGUUGCCUCCAUCAUAUCCAGAAUUAACUCCAAUAACAUGUUCUUGCAUUCUUCGUCAGCACAGCAAGGGAGCUAACUGAAAGGCAUGUCGGGAACACUGGAAUCAUUCAAUGUCUUAAACUACUCAGCCUUGAAAUACAUAUAAAAAUGAGUUAGAAUUCAAAAACUUUAAAAAUAUUUCUUUUUCUGGGCUU
rnacentral:lncRNA from 1 species